UACGUAGGGGGCAAGCGUUGUCCGGAAUUAUUGGGCGUAAAGAGCGCGUAGGCGGUCCGAUAAGUCGGCUGUGAAAGUCAGGGGCUCAACCCUUGGAAGCCGGCCGAUACUGUCGGACUAGAGUCCGGAAGAGGCAAGUGGAAUUCCCGGCGUAGCGGUGAAAUGCGCAGAUAUCGGGAGGAACACCAAUGGCGAAGGCAGCUUGCUGGGACGGUACUGACGCUGAGGCGCGAAAGCGUGGGGAGCAAACAGG
rnacentral:rRNA from 1 species